rnacentral:lncRNA from 1 species
GACAGAAAAUGCAUUUAUUUAAAUUGCUGUACAAUGGAAAUCUCAAUCGCUUUCAAAAGCCAGCUGAGGGAGAAGUGACUCACAUAAGAUGCAUACAGGAAGCCUUUUUGUAGUUUUCAGCUCUGAAUUUCUUUUUCUCUGAAUACAACGCCACUUGUGUGAGUGCAGUUAUCUGCUGAGUGGCGGCAGUGUGUUUGGCAGUACAUAAACAUGGAGAAAGACAUGGUUCCUGCUCUGAGGAACUUACAACCUAAGAUAUGACAUGGACAAUACUAUUCCAACACAUAAUGAUCAACUGAAAUACCAGCAAUCAGAUAUAAGAAGAUCCAUUUUAACAAGCAAUUGUAAUACCAAAUAUAUAUAUAAAUGCUACAAGUAGGAUACAGUGGUAUCUUUGUUGUUCUGUAUUUAUAUGUUCACAUGUACACAGGCAUGAAAGGUAGUGACGGUUUGCUUAAGAGGGAGGCUUUUCCUUUGGCAGGGCUGCUCCAGCUUGUGCUUCCUGAAAACCUGUUCAAGAGAGAAUGUGUCAUAAGGAAGUAUACUAAGACUCCUCUUGCUCCUCCACCUCUUCCUUUUCUUCUUCCUCUUCUUGCUUUCCUUCUUCUUCCUUUUCUUCUCCCUCUUCAUGCUUUUCUUCUUCCCCUGUUGCUGCAUCUUCUUCCUUGUUUUCCUGCUGAUCUUCUGAUGGUGACUGAGCCUCUUCAUGGGCCCCUUCAUCUGCACUGUGUUCUGUGUGUGCCUCAGUUUCACCAGCGGUAUCAGACUUUUCAGUCUCCCCACAAUACCGCUCCUCAUUGAAGAUCUGUGGAGGAAGAGGAAUUCCAUUUUGAGGCUUUUUUUCUCCAGGAACAUUCUCUCUCAUCCAUUUCCUGUUGUCCUCAUCACCUGCUAUGUCCAUUUGCUGAAAGUCAAUCUUGUUGGCCUCUAAAAAGCCCACUACCUCUUGCUGUUUCUUUUUGAUCGCUGUAGACCCCGAGGAUGUGGCUACAAAGACUUUGAUCACCAUUUUGACAGUGAUGAAAAUGAAUCAGCAGAGCACGCCUGCUAUCCACAAGUCAACAAAGUCCCAAGAGGAAUCCCAGCCUUCAGCAGGACUUAGAUCCUAAAUGGGUGCACCCCACAGC